CCAUCAGUGGUUCAGUGGUAGAAUGCUCGCCUGCCACGCGGGCGGCCCGGGUUCCUGGCCGAUGCA
rnacentral:tRNA from 1 species